CAAUAGCGUAUAUUAAAGUUGUUGCAGUUAAAAAGCUCGUAGUUGGAUUUCUGGGAGAGUGCCAAUGUCCGCCGAAGUGCGUGCGCAGCGGCGCUCUUUCAUCCUUCUGUUAACGGCUCUCGGCAUUCAUUUGCUGGUGUCGGGCUCAGAUAUUUUACCUUGAGAAAAUUAGAGUGUUUCAGGCAGGCUAGGCCGGAAUACAUUAGCAUGGAAUAAUGGAAUAGGACUACGGUCUCUUUGUUGGUUUGAGGGACUGCAGUAAUGAUUAAUAGGGAUAGUUGGGGGCAUUAGUAUUUAAUUGUCAGAGGUGGAAUUCUCGGAUUUGUUAAAGACUAACUUAUGCGAAAGCAUUUGUCAAGGAUGUUUUCAUUAAUCAAGAACGAAAGUUAGGGGAUCAAAGACGAUCAGAUACCAU
rnacentral:rRNA from 1 species